AGCGAACGCUGGCGGCAGGCUUAACACAUGCAAGUCGAGCGGGCACUUCGGUGUCAGCGGCAGACGGGUGAGUAACACGUGGGAACGUACCCUUUGGUUCGGAAUAACGCUGGGAAACUAGCGCUAAUACCGGAUACGCCCUUUUGGGGAAAGGCUUGCUGCCGAAGGAUCGGCCCGCGUCUGAUUAGCUAGUUGGUGGGGUAAUGGCCUACCAAGGCGACGAUCAGUAGCUGGUCUGAGAGGAUGAUCAGCCACACUGGGACUGAGACACGGCCCAGACUCCUACGGGAGGCAGCAGUGGGGAAUAUUGGACAAUGGGCGCAAGCCUGAUACAGCCAUGCCGCGUGAGUGAUGAAGGCCUUAGGGUUGUAAAGCUCUUUUGUCCGGGACGAUAAUGACGGUACCGGAAGAAUAAGCCCCGGCUAACUUCGUG
rnacentral:rRNA from 1 species